UGGGGAAUAUUGGACAAUGGGCGAAAGCCUGAUCCAGCAAUGCCGCGUGAGUGAAGAAGGUCUUCGGAUUGUAAAGCUCUUUCGACGGGGACGAUGAUGACGGUACCCGUAGAAGAAGCCCCGGCUAACUUCGUGCCAGCAGCCGCGGUAAUACGAAGGGGGCUAGCGUUGCUCGGAAUGACUGGGCGUAAAGGGCGCGUAGGCGGUUUGGACAGUCAGAUGUGAAAUUCCUGGGCUCAACCUGGGGGCUGCAUUUGAUACGUACAGACUGGAGUGAGGAAGAGGGUCGUGGAAUUCCCAGUGUAGAGGUGAAAUUCGUAGAUAUUGGGAAGAACACCGGUGGCGAAGGCGGCGACCUGGUCCUUUACUGACGCUGAGGCGCGAAAGCGUGGGGAGCAAACAGGAUUAGAUACCCUGGUAGUCCACGCCGUAAACGAUGUGUGCUGGAUGUUGGGUGGCAUAGCCGCUCAGUGUCGUAGCUAACGCGAUAAGCACACCGCCUGGGGAGUACGGCCGCAAGGUUG
rnacentral:rRNA from 1 species